rnacentral:rRNA from 1 species
GGAUUAGGCAUGCAAGUCGAACGAGGAUAUAUCCUUCGGGAUAUAAGCCGAGUGGCGCAAGGGUGAGCAAUGCAUAGAUUACCUGCCUUUAGGAUAAGGACAACUUUGUGAAAACGGAGCUAAUACUUAAUAACACAGAAGAAAAUAAUUUUCUUUUGUCAAAGGGAGGGUAGCAAUACCUUUCGCCUAGAGAGGGGUUUAUGUCCUAUCAGCUUGUUGGUGGGGGUAACGGCCCACCAAGGCGAAGACGGGUAGCUGGUCUGAGAGGAUGGUCAGCCACACUGGGACUGAGACACUGCCCAGACUCCUACGGGAGGCUGCAGUCGAGAAUCUUUCGCAAUGCCCGAAAGG